rnacentral:rRNA from 1 species
UACGUAGGGGGCUAGCGUUGUCCGGAAUCAUUGGGCGUAAAGCGCGCGUAGGCGGCCUCAUAAGUCCGCUGUAAAAGUCAAAGGCUCAACCUUUGAAUGCCGGUGGAUACUGUGAGGCUAGAGUCCGGAAGAGGCGAGUGGGAACUCCUGGUGUAGCGGUGGAAUGCGCAGAUAUCAGGAAGAACACCAACGGCGAAGGCAGCUCGCUGGGACGGUACUGACGCUGAGGCGCGAAAGCGUGGGGAGCAAACAGG